rnacentral:lncRNA from 1 species
CGGCAAAAAGUCGUUCACAAGUCGUUCAUUGCUUCUUUCUUAAUCUUCUCUAUUUGACGAGUCAAUGAUCUCUGAUCUUCAUUUUUAUUCAACUCUGAAAGUUUAAUCGUUUUCUUUAUCUCUACCGCUUAAGAGUCUGAGAUGUCUCCUCUUCUUGAUUCUUCGACACCAAAAAGGCAGUGACUUCACGAGCCAUAGAUCUCUGUACUUCUUUCUUCUUCAACUCCGAAC